rfam:Rachicladosporium sp. CCFEE 5018 unplaced genomic scaffold Supercontig_43, whole genome shotgun sequence.
UCCCCGAUGGUCUAGUGGUCAUGAUUUCCGCUUGUCAAAGACGAGUUCUAGCUUUAACGAGCGCGGGAGACCAGGGUUCGAUUCCCUGUCGAGGAG